rnacentral:misc_RNA from 1 species
GAUGAAGAACGCAGCGAAAUGCGAUAAGUAAUGUGAAUUGCAGAAUUCAGUGAAUCAUCGAAUCUUUGAACGCACAUUGCGCCCGCCAGUAUUCUGGCGGGCAUGCCUGUUCGAGCGUCAUUUCAACCAUCAAGCCCCCGGGCUUGUGUUGGGGACCUGCGGCUGCCGCAGGCCCUGAAAAGCAGUGGCGGGCUCGCUGUCACACCGAGCGUAGUAGCAUACAUCUCGCUCUGGGCGUGCUGUGGGUUCCGGCCGUUAAACCACCUUUUAACCCAAGGUUGACCUCGGAUCAGGUAGGAAGACCCGCUGAACUUAAGCAUAUCAAUAAGCGGAGGA